rnacentral:rRNA from 1 species
AUGACACAUGCAUAUAUGCUUGCUAAGCAUUUUCUUUUGUUUUUCAUGUGGGUCACCAUCCCUCUAUCUCUCUCACCCCCUCUCCUUUUCAACCUGAUGUUUCCUGAAACCUGCCGCCUGCUAAGGGCCCCGUACUGUGAUCGAGUAGGGUUUCUGGAAGACAAGAAGAAAGAAAACAUAGAAAAAAGGGUACUCUGGGGAUGGAAGGAAGAUUGCCCGGGAAACAAGGGAUCUUCCACUUCCUCUUCCUUUUCCUUUUCCUUCAAAGGGUCAAUUCAAGCUUGUCACUUGGUCCAGGGUAGCCUAGUAGGCUGGUAG